rnacentral:rRNA from 1 species
AGCAGCCGCGGUAAUUCCAGCUCCAAUAGCGUAUAUUAAAGUUGUUGCAGUUAAAAAGCUCGUAGUUGAAUUUCGGGAUCAAUUUAUUGGUCGUGCAGUUGUACGUACUGGUAUUAUUGGUUCCUACCUUCUGAUGAACCAUGAUGUCAUUAAUUUGGUGUUAUGGGGAAUCAGGACUGUUACUUUGAAAAAAUUAGAGUGUUUAAAGCAGGCUCACGCUUGAAUACAUUAGCAUGGAAUAAUGAAAUAGGACGUUUGAUUCUAUUUUGUUGGUUUCUAGGAUCGACGUAAUGAUUAAUAGGGAUAGUUGGGGGCAUUAGUAUUCAAUUGUCAGAGGUGAAAUUCUUGGAUUUAUUGAAGACUAACUACUGCGAAAGCAUUUGCCAAGGAUGUUUUCAUUAAUCAAGAACGAAAGUUAGGGGAUCGAAGACGAUCAGAUACCGUCGUAGU